UUCGUAGGCGGUCUGUUAAGUCAGAGGUGAAAUCUAACGGCUCAACCGUUAACCUGCCUUUGAAACUGGCAGACUUGAGUAUUGGAGAGGAAAGCGGAAUUCUUGGCGUAGCGGUGAAAUGCGUGGAUAUCAAGAGGAACACCCGUGGCGAAGGCGGCUUUCUGGCCAAAUACUGACGCUGAGGAACGAAAGCUAGGGGAGCAAACAGGAUUAGAUACCCUGGUAGUCC
rnacentral:rRNA from 1 species